GCUCCUCCUUCUGCCCCGCCACCCCGCUCCGGUACCGGCACCGCCUGCACCCCCGGGGGCCCUACAGCCGCGGGAGGCUCGGCCCGGGUCGGUGCGGGGUCCCGGCCACCGCCAGCACCCAGCCCUGCUCCUGUAUAAAGCGCUGCGUUACUGUUUUAGCUGUCGGCCAUUAAACGAGCGUAACUGUCGGAGCACGACAGGGCUCGUCCGUGGUGAAGGCGUCGUCGAGGGCACCUCCGCUGCCAAAGGACGGGGAGGCGCAUCCCGUUGAUGCCAGUGGCCUCGCGCAGCGCCGACACCAGUUCCGCAGCCGCUGACGUGAGACCAUUUGUAUAAGGUGGACCCAUUGAACCAGACGGGGAAAAGAGAGAAGGAAAAAGUAGUUUUUCCUUCUGUCAGCGACCAGGCAACUCCGUGUGCAGGCCAAGAAACAAAGGACUGCACGCUCAAACGCCACCCUUGGAAUUCACAGUUCAUACCAUUCAACCAGGGGACCAGAUACUGAUCAAGUCAUGGAAGGACUUUAAAUUACAGCCUAUGUUGGACGGCCCAUUUCAUGUACUGUUGACCACUGAAACUGCUGUGAGGACUGCC